UUAGAGGAAGUAAAAGUCGUAACAAGGUUUCCGUAGGUGAACCUGCGGAAGGAUCAUUACCGAGUGAGGGCCCUCUGGGUCCAACCUCCCACCCGUGUUUAUUUUACCUUGUUGCUUCGGCGGGCCCGCCUUAACUGGCCGCCGGGGGGCUUACGCCCCCGGGCCCGCGCCCGCCGAAGACACCCUCGAACUCUGUCUGAAGAUUGUAGUCUGAGUGAAAAUAUAAAUUAUUUAAAACUUUCAACAACGGAUCUCUUGGUUCCGGCAUCGAUGAAGAACGCAGCGAAAUGCGAUACGUAAUGUGAAUUGCAAAUUCAGUGAAUCAUCGAGUCUUUGAACGCACAUUGCGCCCCCUGGUAUUCCGGGGGGCAUGCCUGUCCGAGCGUCAUUGCUGCCCUCAAGCACGGCUUGUGUGUUGGGCCCCGUCCUCCGAUCCCGGGGGACGGGCCCGAAAGGCAGCGGCGGCACCGCGUCCGGUCCUCGAGCGUAUGGGGCUUUGUCACCCGCUCUGUAGGCCCGGCCGGCGCUUGCCGAUCAACCCAAAUUUUUAUCCAGGUGACCUCGAU
rnacentral:sRNA from 1 species